GCGCCCGUAGCUCAGCAGGACAGAGCAACGGUUUCCUAAACCGUGUGUCGGUGGUUCGAGUCCUCCCGGGCGCACCA
rnacentral:tRNA from 1 species